rnacentral:rRNA from 1 species
AGUCAAGUAAUGAAGUGCACAUGGUGGAUGCCUUGGCAGUCAGAGGCGAUGAAAGACGUGACAGCCUGCGAAAAGCGUCGGGGAGGCGGCAAUAUCCUGUGAUCCGGCGAUAUCUGAAUGGGGAAACCCACUUGUCAUAAGACAGGUAUCGUAAAUUUAUUUACGAGGCAAACCGGGAGAAGUGAAACAUCUCAGUAACCCGAGGAAAAGACAUCAAUAGAGAUUCCCCUAGUAGCGGCGAGCGAACGGGGAGGAGCCGACUGAUUAUAAUUUAGAGGAAUGACUUGGAAAGGUCAAUCGUAGAGGGUGAUAAUCCCGUACUCGAAAGGUUAUAAGAAGCAUAUUAAGUAGGGCGGAACACGAGAAAUUCUGUCUGAAGAUGGGGGGACCAUCCUCCAAGGCUAAAUACUCCUGACUGACCGAUAGUGAACCAGUACCGUGAGGGAAAGGCGAAAAGAACCCCUGUGAGGGGAGUGAAAUAGAACCUGAAACCGUGUGCAUACAAGCAGUCGGAGCGGACAUGUUCCGUGACGGCGUACCUUUUGUAUAAUGGGUCAGCGACUUAUAUUCUGUAGCAAGGUUAACCGAAUAGGGGAGCCGUAGGGAAACCGAGUCUUAAUAGGGCGUCUAGUUGCAGGGUAUAGACCCGAAACCGAGUGAUCUAUCCAUGAGCAGGUUGAAAGUGACGUAACAGUUACCGGAGGACCGAACCCACUGUCGUUGAAAAGCCAGGGGAUGACUUGUGGAUAGGGGUGAAAGGCUAAUCAAACUCGGUGAUAGCUGGUUCUCCCCGAAAGCUAUUUAGGUAGCGCCUCGGACGAACACCAUUGGGGGUAGAGCACUGUUUCGGCUAGGGGGUCAUCCCGACUUACCAAACCGAUGCAAACUCCGAAUACCGAUGAGUGAUAUCCGGGAGACAGACGGCGGGUGCUAACGUCCGUCGUCAAGAGGGAAACAACCCAGACCGCCAGCUAAGGCCCCAAAUUCCUAGUUAAGUGGGAAACGAUGUGGGAAGGCACAGACAGCUAGGAGGUUGGCUUAGAAGCAGCCAUCCUUUAAAGAAAGCGUAAUAGCUCACUAGUCGAGUCGGCCUGCGCGGAAGAUGUAACGGGGCUCAAACUAGGAGCCGAAGCUGCGGAUUUAAUUGUUUCAAUUAAGUGGUAGGGGAGCAUUGUGUAAGCCUGUGAAGGUGUGUUGUAAAGCAUGCUGGAGGUAUCACAAGAGCGAAUGCUGACGUGAGUAACGACAAAACGGGUGAAAAGCCCGUUCGCCGGAAGACCAAGGGUUCCAGUCCAACGUUAAUCGGGGCUGGGUGAGUCGACCCCUAAGGCGAGGCCGAAAGGCGUAGUCGAUGGGAAAUCGGUUAAUAUUCCGAUACUUGUUUAUGAUGCGAUGGAGGGACGGAGAAGGUUAUGCCAGCUUGGCGAUGGUUGUCCAAGUGGAAGGAUGUAGUUAGGUUUAGUAGGCAAAUCCGCUAGACUAUUAAUGAGAUCUGAUAGCAAGCUGUACUUGUACAGCGAAGUGGCAAAUACCCUGCUUCCAGGAAAAGCUUCUAAGCGAUAGUCAUAAAGAAAUCGUACCCUAAACCGACACAGGUGGUCAGGUAGAGAAUACCAAGGCGCUUGAGAGAACUCUGCUGAAGGAACUAGGCAAAAUGGUACCGUAACUUCGGGAGAAGGUACGCUGCCGAUGGUGAGUAGUCACGCACUACAAAGCUAUUGGCAGUCGCAGAUACCAGGCCGCUGCAACUGUUUAUUAAAAACACAGCACUCUGCAAACACGAAAGUGGACGUAUAGGGUGUGAUGCCUGCCCGGUGCUGGAAGGUUAAUUGAUGGGGUUAGCGUAAGCGAAGCUCUUGAUCGAAGCCCCAGUAAACGGCGGCCGUAACUAUAACGGUCCUAAGGUAGCGAAAUUCCUUGUCGGGUAAGUUCCGACCUGCACGAAUGGCAUAAUGAUGGCGGCGCUGUCUCCAGCAGAGACUCAGUGAAAUCGAAAUCGCAGUGAAGAUGCUGUGUACCCGCGGCUAGACGGAAAGACCCCGUGAACCUUUACUACAGCUUUACAUUGAACUUUGACCUUACCUGUGUAGGAUAGGUGGGAGGCUUUGAAGCAGGCACGCCAGUGUCUGUGGAGCCAUCCUUGAAAUACCACCCUGGUAAUGUUGGGGUUCUAACUCAAGCUUAACAGAGCUGAGGACAAUGUAUGGUGGGUAGUUUGACUGGGGCGGUCUCCUCCUAAAGAGUAACGGAGGAGUACGAAGGUGCGCUCAGAACGGUCGGAAAUCGUUCGAAGAGUAUAAAGGCAAAAGCGCGCUUAACUGCGAGACCCACAAGUCGAGCAGAUACGAAAGUAGGUCUUAGUGAUCCGGUGGUUCUGUAUGGAAGGGCCAUCGCUCAACGGAUAAAAGGUACUCUGGGGAUAACAGGCUGAUACCGCCCAAGAGUUCAUAUCGACGGCGGUGUUUGGCACCUCGAUGUCGGCUCAUCUCAUCCUGGGGCUGAAGCAGGUCCCAAGGGUAUGGCUGUUCGCCAUUUAAAGAGGUACGCGAGCUGGGUUUAGAACGUCGUGAGACAGUUCGGUCCCUAUCUACCGUGGGCGUUGGAAAUUUGAGAGGAUCUGCUCCUAGUACGAGAGGACCAGAGUGGACGAACCUCUGGUGUUUCGGUUGUGACGCCAGUCGCAUUGCCGAGUAGCUAUGUUCGGAUGGGAUAACCGCUGAAAGCAUCUAAGCGGGAAGCCCACCUUAAGAUUAGAUUUCCCUAAAGAGCCGUUGUAGACUACGACGUUGAUAGGUUGGGUGUGGAAGCAUAGUGAUAUGUGUAGCUAACCAAUACUAAUUGCUCGUUUGGCUUGACUAU